GCCGAAGGGAAACCGAGUCUUAACUGGGCGUUAAGUUGCAGGGUAUAGACCCGAAACCCGGUGAUCUAGCCAUGGGCAGGUUGAAGGUUGGGUAACACUAACUGGAGGACCGAACCGACUAAUGUUGAAAAAUUAGCGGAUGACUUGUGGCUGGGGGUGAAAGGCCAAUCAAACCGGGAGAUAGCUGGUUCUCCCCGAAAGCUAUUUAGGUAGCGCCUCGUGAAUUCAUCUCCGGGGGUAGAGCACUGUUUCGGCAAGGGGGUCAUCCCGACUUACCAACCCGAUGCAAACUGCGAAUACCGGAGAAUGUUAUCACGGGAGACACACGGCGGGUGCUAACGUCCGUCGUGAAGAGGGAAACAACCCAGACCGCCAGCUAAGGUCCCAAAGUCAUGGUUAAGUGGGAAACGAUGUGGGAAGGCCCAGACAGCCAGGAUGUUGGCUUAGAAGCAGCCAUCAUUUAAAGAAAGCGUAAUAGCUCACUGGUCGAGUCGGCCUGCGCGGAAGAUGUAACGGGGCUAAACCAUGCACCGAAGCUGCGGCAGCGACGCUUAUGCGUUGUUGGGUAGGGGAGCGUUCUGUAAGCCUGUGAAGGUGUACUGUGAGG
rnacentral:rRNA from 1 species